AACUGCGACUGGAUGAGACUCAAAAAAUGGUGGUACGUACUGGAACAAAUACUCCUGGCAUACCCAUGUCGUUGGCAGCAAAAGGUAUUUCAGUUACUAGUUCUUCCAUAUGCUAGAGGAAUUUCUUUCAACCCACCUUGAGCAGAGCUCGUGGCAUCAAUUCUUCAUUGUUCUGUGUGAAAAUUUAUGAGCAGGAAGGAAUAGUUCUGCCCGAUGAGCAGUUCCAGUUGAGUUCUCCCUACAGAUAGUUUGACUUUUAUUUUCAAGCAUUAAGUUAUCCUAGAUAUUUGAUUGGUACUCCACCUUGCAAUCAAGGAAGCUCUGAAAAUGAAACACGUGAUGUUUGAUACACCUUGGUACACCACGACUCAAGCUCUCUGCAUUUUUUGUUAAAGGUCAUCGGGCUGGGCACCGGCUGCUUAUGUGUUGUACGCCUUGGGCGUCCCUGUGCUGGUGAUGAGCGUGAUGGCCGUGCAUUGACCUGCAUCGCCUGUCCGAACUGUGCCGGCCAUGCGUCCGACAACCUCGUCCAUCCCUGAUCACCUCUUCCGCGCAAUCAGCGGCACAUACACAGACAUGCCUGUGCUGUAUUAUACUUGAACUUCAGAGCUUCUGAACUCUCUGAAUCGGUGUGCAUGUUUUUAUAUUGUGUCAUUGCAUAGCUCCACCACUGAAUUUGGAAAUUCAGUCAAUGCUUAAACUUGAUAAAAAAGAGCAAGAAACAGUGACAGAUUAUGUGUGUUUUUCACGGAAGUGAGCUGGGAAUUUAGAUCUUCCUUUUCAUAAUAUUAAGGGCAUCGAUCAUUCAACUAUUUAUGUUAUCCUUCAUGCUCUGACUUGAGUGAAGUUAUGUGAACUAGCAUAGUAUAUUGUAAUUUUCUGAUUUUGAGUCGUGGCAUAUAGUCCUCACACAAAGUAGUUGCAAAUAUAUUGAAGUAUAUUAUGCACAUAGUUAUCCUCCCUAAUGCCUAAACUGGUACCUUUUCAAUCUUUGUGUUGACUACUAAACAUAAUUAUUGUAGGUCUUCCCUGACCCAUGGUCACGCGAAAGCGGUGCUGCUUCGGCAAGCUCCUCUGUCCCCCGAGCACAGUGUUGUCCAUGACGGUCUCCUCCCUCCUGUUCCCUCAGCGAGGAUGAUGUCAAUUUUUUGCGAAACAGAAAGUUAUGUAGUUCUUCAGUAUAUGUCCAUAGAAACCUAUGACAAUUUCUUCAGUAGCAGUUCAACAGAAAAUCCUGCUGUAGUUCUUGAGUAUUGUUCCAUUAGAAUUUCAUGUUAUCUAAGUAUUUUUAGUACUUGCUAUUGCAGAUAAGUGUUUGUUAGAAUUGACAUUCUGUUAGUAAAGUACCAUUCUUCAGUAUAUGUUCUGAAAAUUUCAUCUUUUGUGUGCCUGGUGUGAAUCGUUGGUCUUCUCUCACUUUUGCUCCUGGAUUAGAGGUAGCAUGUUGAUUUUCGCACUUGAUGAAGAACAUAUCCUAAAAUGUGAAAAAAAUUGUUCCCCAAUGAAUAAUUUAUUGUCGUAAAGAUCUAUUUUCUUCCAGAGUGAUGAAGUUUUGCUCCUAAACAAAGAACUUUAUGUUGGUCCUGAAUGAGGAGGUAGUAUAGGGAACUACAUGUACGUGUUUUUCCAAAAACUUUCUUAAACCAUUUUUGAUGAAGUAUAGGGAACUUCAUGUACGUG
rnacentral:lncRNA from 1 species